rnacentral:tRNA from 1 species
GGGGAUAUGGCGGAACUGGCAGACGCGCUAGCUUCAGGAGCUAGUGGUCGAAAGACCGUGAGAGUUCAAAUCUCUCUAUCCCCA